AGUCGAACGGCAGCACGGGAGCUUGCUCCUGGUGGCGAGUGGCGAACGGGUGAGUAAAGCAUCGGAACGUACCUUGUCGAGGGGGAUAACGCAGCGAAAGUUGUGCUAAUACCGCAUACGUCCUGAGGGAGAAAGCGGGGGACCGCAAGGCCUCGCGCGAUGAGAGCGGCCGAUGUCAGAUUAGCUAGUUGGUGAGGUAAAGGCUCACCAAGGCGACGAUCUGUAGCGGGUCUGAGAGGAUGAUCCGCCACACUGGGACUGAGACACGGCCCAGACUCCUACGGGAGGCAGCAGUGGGGAAUUUUGGACAAUGGGGGAAACCCUGAUCCAGCCAUGCCGCGUGAGUGAAGAAGGCCUUCGGGUUGUAAAGCUCUUUCAGACGGAAAGAAAUCGGGCGCGUGAAUAGCGUGCCUGGAUGACGGUACUGUCAGAAGAAGCACCGGCUAACUACGUGCCAGCAGCCGCGGUAAU
rnacentral:rRNA from 1 species